rnacentral:tRNA from 1 species
GGUUCCAUCGUUUAUUAGGAUAAGAUACCUCCCUGUCACGGAGGAGUAGAGAGUUCGAUCCUCUCUGGAACCGCCA